AUUGAACGCUGGCGGCAGGCCUAACACAUGCAAGUCGAACGGUAGCACAGAGAGCUUGCUCUUGGGUGACGAGUGGCGGACGGGUGAGUAAUGUCUGGGAAACUGCCCGAUGGAGGGGGAUAACUACUGGAAACGGUAGCUAAUACCGCAUAACGUCUUCGGACCAAAGUGGGGGACCUUCGGGCCUCACACCGUCGGAUGUGCCCAGAUGGGAUUAGCUAGUAGGUGGGGUAAUGGCUCACCUAGGCGACGAUCCCUAGCUGGUCUGAGAGGAUGACCAGCCACACUGGAACUGAGACACGGUCCAGACUCCUACGGGAGGCAGCAGUGGGGAAUAUUGCACAAUGGGCGCAAGCCUGAUGCAGCCAUGCCGCGUGUAUGAAGAAGGCCUUCGGGUUGUAAAGUACUUUCAGCGGGGAGGAAGGCGAUGGAGUUAAUAGCUUCAUCGAUUGACGUUACCCGCAGAAGAAGCACCGGCUAACUCCGUGCCAGCAGCCGCCGUAA
rnacentral:rRNA from 1 species